UGGCGGACGGGUGAGUAAUGUCUGGGAAACUGCCUGAUGGAGGGGGAUAACUACUGGAAACGGUAGCUAAUACCGCAUAACGUCGCAAGACCAAAGAGGGGGACCUUCGGGCCUCUUGCCAUCGGAUGUGCCCAGAUGGGAUUAGCUUGUUGGUGGGGUAACGGCUCACCAAGGCGACGAUCCCUAGCUGGUCUGAGAGGAUGGCCAGCCACACUGGAACUGAGACACGGUCCAGACUCCUACGGGAGGCAGCAUG
rnacentral:rRNA from 1 species